AAUGAUGGUGUUUAGCAGCUUAGUGAACUAACUAGAUUUAAAUAUUGCACCCUAGAAAGGGAAAGUUUUAAUUUAUAGUCUCCAUAAAAGCAAUUUAAUAGGUCCUGGAAUAAUUAAUAUAGAAGAGUUUCUACCAAAGAUUAUGUGAUACCCCUAGCACUGUGGUUUUUUUUUUUUUCUUUUACAGUUGAGUUGAAAAGAAUGGACUUCUGAAGCAACUUUUCACAAAAAAAUAUCUGGAAGGACUGAGAUUCGAGAGCCGUGGCGGUGCAGUGGUUAGGAUGCAAUAUUGCAGGCUGACUCUGCCCACUGCCAGCAGUUCGAUCCUGACCGGCUUGAGGUUGACUCCGCCUUCCAUCCUUCCAAGGGUAUGCCUUGUAUGGUAUGGAAUCCCAAGGCACGCUUUCCUGGUGAGCAAACCACUUCAUUUGCUGUCCUCAUGUGCAGGAAGUAGUGGGGAGGGGAAAACAGUGAGUAUUUACAACGAGCCAACUUUACAUUCCUACCCCUUCUCUGAUGCCAAUGCUUGCUUUUCUCCAGUCAACGAAAGUGCUCAGAUCUUCGGCUCAUCACUCACUGUUGCACCGUUGACAGAUCCUUCUCGGUGGCACGUUUCCAGUUCCCUUUCAUCUUUUAUAUUCCAGGCCCUGAAUAUGUCUUUCAUAGUGGACGUCCCCCUUCUAAGAAAGUGCUAUUCAAAUUAGUCAAAGUGAAGGUUUCAUGAAUAACUGGGUUGGUGGGGGGUGUUUUUUUCUAUUUUGGGGAGGGACGACACCGAACUUAAGGACCUCAAAUUACAGUCUAAAGUUAAAUUAAAAUCUCAGUGUGAAUUGGUGAGCCUGUGUCUCUCUGUGGUGGUUUUCAGGGUUACUUGGAUUUCUUUAUCUUGGAAACAGGUUGGCAUACAUAU